UCGGAUGAUGACAACUUCUGAAAUGUCUUCUUUUCCCAACUGAAUCGACCAUGAACGAAGACUAGUCUGUUUCGGGCUUCCUCCUACGGGAGUCGGCCUGUUGCUUGCCAGUAAUUUUUUCUGACU
rnacentral:snoRNA from 1 species